GACGAACGCUGGCGGCGUGCUUAACACAUGCAAGUCGAACGGAAAGGCCCUGCUUUUGUGGGGUGCUCGAGUGGCGAACGGGUGAGUAACACGUGAGUAACCUGCCCUUGACUUUGGGAUAACUUCAGGAAACUGGGGCUAAUACCGGAUAGGAGCUCCUGCUGCAUGGUGGGGGUUGGAAAGUUUCGGCGGUUGGGGAUGGACUCGCGGCUUAUCAGCUUGUUGGUGGGGUAGUGGCUUACCAAGGCUUUGACGGGUAGCCGGCCUGAGAGGGUGACCGGCCACAUUGGGACUGAGAUACGGCGCAGACUCCAACGGGAGGCAGCAGUGGGGAAUAUUGCACAAUGGGCGGAAGCCUGAUGCAGCAACGCCGCGUGCGGGAUGAGGGCCUUCGGGUUGUAAACCGAUUUCGCCUGUGACGAAGCGUGAGUGACGGUAAUGGGUAAAGAAGCACCGGCUAACUACGUG
rnacentral:rRNA from 1 species